AAACUUGUCCUUUUCAGUCAUGAAAGAGAAUAGCAUGUCCAACAGCAUAAUGCUAAGAAAUCCCAAAGAUGGCACCGUCUCCAAUAUACCAUUGCUGAGAAAGGGCAUCUGUGGUGACUGGAAGAAUCUCUUCACUGUGGCUCAAAGUGAAGCCUUUGACAGAGUCUAUCAGGAGAAGAUGUCGAAGCUGGAUCCUGGUCUCUUCCCCUGGUCAGCACGAUGUUGAUCAAUGCCCCCAUCCACCUACCCCCUCACCACUCUGCACACCCUCAUCCAGGAUAGGGUUUCUUAGUGUAGUCCUGGCUGUGCUGGACCUAGCUCUGUAAAUAGGCUGGCCUCAAACUCAGAGAUCUUCCUGCCUCUGCCUCCUGAGUGCUGGGAUUAAAGGUGUGCACCACCAAUGUCUGGCUGUCUGGUUGAAAGACUCUAACCAUUUUAAGGACUCUGGGUGUUACCUACUAAACUUAAAAAAAAAUCUAUCUGUGCCUUUUUUUUUUUUUUUUUUUUUUUUUUUUUUUUUUUUUUUUUUUUUUGUCAUCUGGAUGCAAGUUAGUCAUCUGGGACCAGGAAAUCUCAUGGAGAAAAUGCCUCCAUCAGAUUGGUCUGUAUGAGAGCCCGGCCCACUCAAGGUGGUGCCAUCCUUGUGGAAGUGGCUCUGGGUUGUAUGGAAAAAAAAAAUCUGAGCAAGUCACAGGGAACAAGCCAAUAAACAUCAUUCCCCCACCGUCUCUACUUAGUUCCUGCCUCAGUUUCCCAUGAUAAUGUACCUGUAAGCCAAAUAAACCCUUCCCUCCCCAUGUUGCUUUUGGUCAGUGCUUUAUCACAGGAAUGGAAUGAAGAUUGGAAUACUAUCCUUUUGAGUUGCCAGGUGGUUCAUAUCACAAAACUCAGAGCAAAAUAAUUUUUAAAAAACUUGAGUCUAGAGCAGACAUAUCUGCACCUGGUUUCCAAAACUGAAUUGCAAGUAAGGUAUUCAUAAUAAAAUGUUAAUUUAUUGUCGCUUUCAAA